UCUCAACCAGAGGAGAGACACAAGGACAGAAGGUGUGAAGAGGGUUACGGAACUAGUGAUGGCAUCCCUCUGUGUUAUUCUUGUGUUUUUCAGCAAAGUGUGUGGUAAUGUAGUUCAGCCCAACGCACUGGUGACAGCUAAGCUUGGAGAAACCGUGACUCUCCCGUGUUCCUAUCUGGAUGAUGGAGUGCCUAAAGUCAGCUGGUUAAAGCAACUGCUUGGACAGAAGCCUCAGCCUGUAGUAACGAUAAUGCACUCAGAUGAGUUUAAAAACAGUGCACGUCUCAGAGCUAAGACAGAAAACGGAAGCUUUAACCUGACUGUCUCACAAGUAGAGCCAUCAGAUUCAGCAACAUACUACUGCACUAUUAUACGCUACAAUGAGAUCAGCUUUGGAGAAGGAACUACUUUAAUGGUGAUGGGGCCAGAGUCCCAGAGCAGGACAGUAGUGCUGCAGCAGCCCGAGUCUGAGUCAGUGCAGCCAGGAGACUCUGUGACUCUGCAGUGUACAGUACACACUGAGACCUGUGCAGGAGAACACAGUGUGCACUGGUUCAGACCGGGCUCAGGAGAGUCCCCUCCAGGAAUCAUUCACACCCAUGGACACAGGAGUGAUGAGUGCCAGAGGAGCUCUGGGACUGUGUCUCCCACACAGAGCUGUGUCUACAACUUCCCCAAGAGGAACCUCAGCCUCUCUGAUGCUGGGACUUACUACUGUGCUGUGGCCACCUGUGGGGAGAUCCUGUUUGGGAAUGGGACCAAGCUGGACAUUAAGGCAUAA